UCCCCGAAAUGGCAACUUGCACCGAAAGGGUAAGGCGCAAAUUAGCAGGCCUAAAAUCCAAGCAUUACGGGGUAUGGAUGCUGCUAGUGUCGAA
rnacentral:ncRNA from 1 species